rnacentral:rRNA from 1 species
AACGUAGGUUCCGAGCGUUAUCCGGAUUUACUGGGCGUAAAGCGCGUUCAGGCGGUUUGGCAAGUCGGGCAUGAAAUCUCUCGGCUCAACCGGGAGAGGUUGUCCGAUACUUCCAGACUUGAGGGCAGUAGAGGGUGGUGGAAUUCCGGGUGUAGUGGUGAAAUGCGUAGAUAUCGGGAGGAACACCUAUGGCGAAGGCAGCUCGCUGGGACGUUACUGACGCUGAGACGCGAAAGCGUGGGGAGCAAACAGG